rnacentral:rRNA from 1 species
UACGUAGGGGGCAAGCGUUGUCCGGAUUUAUUGGGCGUAAAGAGCUCGUAGGCGGCUUGUCGCGUCGGCUGUGAAAUCCCGUGGCUCAACUGCGGGUCUGCAGCCGAUACGGGCAGGCUAGAGUUCGGUAGGGGAGACUGGAAUUCAUGGUGUAGCAGUGAAAUGCGUAGAGAUCAUGAGGAAGACCAGUGGCGAAGGCGGGUCUCUGGACAGUUCCUGACACUGAGGCACGAAGGCCAGGGGAGCAAACGGG